AUUGAACGCUGGCGGCAGGCCUAACACAUGCAAGUCGAGCGGAGCGGCGGACGGGCGAGUAAUGCCUAGGAAUCUGCCUGGUCGUGUGGGAUAACGUCCGGAAACGGGCGCUAAUACCGCAUACUAUCAGAUGAGCCUAGGUGGGAUUGGCUGGUGGGUGGGGUAAAGGCCUACCAAGGCGACGAUCCGUAACUGGUCUGAGAGGAUGUUCAGUCACACUGGAACUAGGACACGGUCCAUACGCCUACGGAAGGCAGAAGUGGGGAAUAUUGGACAAUGGACGAAAGCCUGUGCCGGCCAUGCCGCGUGUGGGAAGAGGGUCUUCGGAUGGUAAAUCACUUUAAGUUGGGAGGCGUUACCAACAGAGUAAGCACCGGCUAACUUCGUGCCAGCAGCCGCGGUAAUAC
rnacentral:rRNA from 1 species